CGAAAACGAAUUCUCUCUUGAGUGGAUCCUGAGUACGACGGAGCACGUGAAAUUCCGUCGGAAUCUGGGAGGACCAUCUCCUAAGGCUAAAUACUCUCUAGUGACCGAUAGUGAACCAGUACCGUGAGGGAAAGGUGAAAAGUACCCCGGAAGGGGAGUGAAAGAGAACUUGAAACCGUGUGCUUACAAGUAGUCAGAGCCCGUUAAUGGGUGAUGGCGUGCCUUUUGUAGAAUGAACCGGCGAGUUACGAUCUGAUGCAAGGUUAAGCAGAAAAUGUGGAGCCGUAGCGAAAGCGAGUCUGAAUAGGGCGAAUGAGUAUUUGGUCGUAGACCCGAAACCAGGUGAUCUACCCUUGGUCAGGUUGAAGUUCAGGUAACACUGAAUGGAGGACCGAACCGACUUACGUUGAAAAGUGAGCGGAUGAACUGAGGGUAGCGGAGAAAUUCCAAUCGAACUUGGAGAUAGCUGGUUCUCUCCGAAAUAGCUUUAGGGCUAGCCUCAAGUGAUGAUUAUUGGAGGUAGAGCACUGUUUGGACGAGGGGCCCCUCUCGGGUUACCGAAUUCAGACAAACUCCGAAUGCCAAAUAAUUUAACUUGGGAGUCAGAAUGUGGGUGAUAAGGUCCAUAUUCGAAAGGGAAACAGCCCAGACCACCAGCUAAGGUCCCAAAAUAUAUGUUAAGUGGAAAAGGAUGUGGCGUUGCCCAGACAACUAGGAUGUUGGCUUAGAAGCAGCCAUCAUUUAAAGAGUGCGUAAUAGCUCACUAGUCGAGUGACACUGCGCCGAAAAUGUACCGGGGCUAAACAUAUUACCGAAGCUGUGGAUUGUCCUUUGGACAAUGGUAGGAGAGCGUUCUAAGGGCGUUGAAGCAUGAUCGCAAGGACAUGUGGAGCGCUUAGAAGUGAGAAUGCCGGUGUGAGUAGCGAAAGACGGGUGAGAAUCCCGUCCACCGAUUGACUAAGGUUUCCAGAGGAAGGCUCGUCCGCUCUGGGUUAGUCGGGUCCUAAGCUGAGGCCGACAGGCGUAGGCGAUGGAUAACAGGUUGAUAUUCCUGUACCACCAUUAUUCGUUUUAAGCGAUGGGGGGACGCAGUAGGAUAGGCGAAGCGUGCUGUUGGAGUGCACGUCCAAGCAGUGAG
rnacentral:rRNA from 1 species